UAACAUGAUGAUUCUUUCUUUGUAACUAUACGCUGGAAAUUACCGACCGAGACCUUCGGGUCUCUGACGAUACAAAAUGGCUGAUAUCUGAUU
rnacentral:snoRNA from 12 species